UUUGGUCUGUAAUGAUAGCAAAGAAGUUCUUAGUACUUUUGUUGACAUUAUACAAGUUUCCAUUGAAAUAGUAAGGACUUUUAUAAUAAUAUGUCGUAAGAAUUUUCACUUUGCUGUGUCAAAUUGUGUUAGACGAAAACUCUGUUUUAUGACUGUCUGCAAAGUCUAGAAUGUCUGAAAUGUGUGAAGUUGUAAUUUCUUGAACAGCAACCUAGUGUGGAGUACAAUGGGGCCAUGCAUUGAUUUGCAGCUGUUCAGAUCUGAAGAAAUUUCCAAUCUCGAAAUAAAAGCAAUGCUUUCCAGAUGCAGCUUUAGCUAUGCCUCAGAUAUGACUUUGUAAUAAAAAGAAACGACCUGGGAGAAAGAAUCAAUUUAUUGAACUUGAAUAUGUAAGUCGACGUAAUCAAGUCGUUUAAUAUUGUCACUAAGCAACAUUCAAAGUUAUACGCACACAAAUGAGUGACAGAUGUUACAAACGUACUUGAAUUAGAGACAAAUUAUACAGUGUGCAUUGUGAUAUGUGUUCCCAUUCCAGGUGGUUCACUGCGCACAUCCAUGACUAUAACACCGACUACAAGGACAUACCCAUCAUCACAGACAUAAAUAUUGUUGUUUGCAAUUAGAAAUAAUCAUUAAAGGCUAAUCAAAUAGAGUAUGUCAACAACUGUGUCUCUUGCAAUCUGAAAUGAAUAGAGCAAACGAACAAAUCUGAAAACGCAUGGACGUACUGAGACUUGUUACAAAAGAAGCAAAAAAGCUCUCCAAAUAAUGUCGAAAGCAACUGAAAUUCUAUUUAAAUAUACGUUAGCGGUUACUGUGUAAAGUAACCAGUCCUUCCUUUGACCUGUUCCUUAUCGAUUUAUGUACCAACCUGUGGCUAAAUUGCUUGAACGAGCGGAUAACUACUUUUUAGUUCAUCAGCGGCUGGCAUGAGGAAUUGUCAUACAAAUAUCCAUGUAGAUGUCCACCGAGGUAACUUGUGUAACGAAAGAACAGUUAUCAGAUACUUCAAGUUACCGAUGUCUGAAGGUGAAACACGCUAAAAUAUUCAACGGUACAUUUUGGAUUUCUCUAAAAGAUCAUGUGCGUUUGAACAGAAAAAUCACGAGGUAGAAAGAUACACCAAGAAACAAGCGAGUAAGAAGUUAAAAACAAAACAACAACCACAACAACAGAAAUAACCUUACUAACAACAAAAUAACUGUAGUUCAGUAUUUAUCAGAGAAAAGUUGAUAAUCUUAAGCGUUUGUUUGAAAUUAUACAUAAGAUGGAUGCGGAGAAUAAUGAAAUACCAUUCGAUGGUUGGUGGCUACCACCAAGCGUAACCACAAAAAUGAAUGUAGAAACAAUAGAAUUCUCUUUUGCCCUUGGAGGAUUUUUAUUGCUAAUCAUUUUAGUACUUUUAUGUAAAUGUUUCAUGUUCCAUCGUCACAGGAAACAAUCAUCUUCGCCACCUGCUGAACCUAAUCACGAUAUCAACUCAGUUCCUGUAGUUAUACCAUCAUUCAGUAUUUCCAUUAUAUCGAAACCGACUUUGGAGACAGUAGAAAAUGGGGAAAAGUACUACUUGGCAGCAGCUUGAAAAAACAAUGCUUUACUGAAAGAGGAAAACGAAACAAAUUUAAACAAUAGCACUACGGGUCAAUCAGCAAUAAACAGCUGCCAAAUUUACUUUUGCUGACCAUGGUGCCACAAUUCAAAAGGAAAUGAGAGAAUACGAAUUGACACUGCAAAAGCCAAAUUUUUAAACUUUAUAUAUAAGUUAUGAAAAGACUAAUUUUACGGGUUUACAAUAUUCUUAGACUUAACCUUAACUAACACUCUAAUUCUAGUUCUAAUGUUAACCCAUAUUCAUAAAGACCUCAUUGUGGAAGGCAUUCAUCUAGCGGUCAAUACCAAAGAGAGGGCUGACUUCAACGGGUGAUCGACUGUUGCAUACCAAAUAUAACACUCAAACCUAAUCGGUUAUAGCUAAAAUGCCAAAACUGUUCAAAAUAUUUGAGGUUCAUUACUUGGUCAGCUCCGCGUUGUUUAAUCCAGGCCUGCGGAGGAACCUGACUUUAGUAUAUUUAGGAAACUGAAAACACUUGUUGAAUGUACAAGGGUGUCAGGUGACUAAGUGAAAAUUGUAAAUUGUCGGUAUCUUCUCACCGACAUCAUAGUAUGUCAAUGGUUUUCUGAAGAUACCGCAAUAUAAAAUGGUUUAGUGCAGUAAGCACUACAGAACUGUAAAAGUCGAUGAGCAUCUAAUUAACUUGUGCUGUGUUCAAAGCCUCUCAUGAGGGUUAAGGUUUUAUUGGUUCCAUCUCGAAAUCAGUCAGAUUUCAUCAAGAACAUUCAUGCAACUUAAACGUUCAUCUGACAAAUGAUGCGUUAAAUCACCUGAUUACUCUAUAUUGUAACAUUCAAUUUACCAAAUAAAUAUUAAAAUUCUUAAUAUUAAAUAAAUUCAUGUCAUAUAAUGAAAAGUGGAUUCUAACAUUACAGGUAGAGCCUUCCUUUGGAAAAGUGUUAAAUAGUUGUACAUUUAAAUGCACCGUAUGUGCUUCAUUUCCUAAACCCACCCCACGAGAAAGAACCCUGUCUGUGAUGUAAGAAUAUAAUUUUAUACACGUUCCGUAAUUUUUUUUAUUUCUCAGGAGAAGGCCUCUUCCAAAAAUGUUACAAUUCUCUUCUCUUGAUUGUAUGCAGAACUCAUUAAAUGACAUUUAAUAUAAAUAUUACGAAUUUGAUUGACUGUUUUGCUGACACCAACCCUGAAUACUUUCUUUGUAUUAUAGUUUUAUACAUAUAUCUAUAUAUAUAUAUUUUUACAAGAAAAUUAUAUAACUCAGAUAUUGUCCAGUUUCUAUAUUGUCUUAUUGUUUUACUUGUCUGAGUAUCGAUGCUGAUGUUUCACAAAAUAUUGAAGGUAGGAUAUCCAAAUAUUUUACCGAUAAUUACUAAGCAACAUAUCAAAAAAUAAAACCAAAAGGAAUUUGUGUUUUUCGAAACUUGUAAAUUUGUUAUAUUAUUUAAAUGUUUACUGAGCGAGCUACGAAUUGUAGGAUAACAAUAACAUCGUGUACAGAGAAAACGUAAUGGAAGUAGAUUUACGUGUAUCGAAACCAUAGAUUCUGGUAUGAGUAGCUUUGAGUUAAUAGU